UCUCUCGCCGUCUGAGCUGGACAUGCAGCUGUCUUCUGCCUUGUCGGUGGAAACCUCUUGGUCAUGACAUGGGACAGAGACGUCCUUGCUGAGCUCCGUGUCCUUGAGUGGAUUUGCAGCCUCUCCCUUCCGGGCUUGCUCCAGGACUGUGUGCCUCCGUCCUGUUUGUGGCGAGAAUGUGGUGACCUCUUCCGAUCUCUUCUGAAUUUCACGCCCCACAUAAGAAGAGAAACUUUUCUUGACGAUAUCUGCUAAGAAAUGACCAACAAACAAUAGACUGGGGGGGAUGGCUCCUCUGUUGAGAGCGUUCCAGCGUUCCAUGCUCUAUCAUGAGGAGCAAGAGUCCGGAUCCCAGCAUCCACAUCCACCGCUCACAGACAUCUCUAACUCCAGCUCCAAGGGAUCUGAUGCUCUCUUUUGGCCUCUGUCAGUAUUCACACGCACACGCGCUCAUACACUCAAUCAGAUGUCCAUAUAGACAUAGGUGUACAUAAAUAAAAUAAAGCUUAAAAUAGGUUAAUGUGG